ACGGAAGGCAGCAGUGGGGAAUAUUGCACAAUGGGGGAAACCCUGAUGCAGCGACGCCGCGUGAGUGAUGAAGUAUUUCGGUAUGUAAAGCUCUAUCAGCAGGGAAGAUAAUGACGGUACCUGACUAAGAAGCACCGGCUAAAUACGUGCCAGCAGCCGCGGUAAUACGUAUGGUGCAAGCGUUAUCCGGAUUUACUGGGUGUAAAGGGAGCGUAGGCGGCGAUGCAAGUCAGAAGUGAAAGCCCGGGGCUUAACCCCGGGACUGCUUUUGAAACUGUGUUGCUAGAUUGCAGGAGAGGUAAGUGGAAUUCCUAGUGUAGCGGUGAAAUGCGUAGAUAUUAGGAGGAACACCAGUGGCGAAGGCGGCUUACUGGACUGUAAAUGACGCUGAGGCUCGAAAGCGUGGGGAGCAAACAGGAUUAGAUACCCUGGUA
rnacentral:rRNA from 1 species